UCCCUGGUGGUCCAGUGGCUAGGACUCUGUGCUUCCACUGCAGGGGCAUGGGUUUGAUUCCUGACUGGGCAA
rnacentral:tRNA from 1 species